CUAAUUUGUGACUACUACAGAUGGAAGGUCGCAGAUGAAGAAGUAACCCCAAGCAAAUUGGAAGGCCCUGAUGCCAAGUAACAAAAGCACGUCAAGAUAAUUACAAUGCGUUCUCCGUUCUUAAAACUGAAUGUGUGACCUCUCAGGAUUUGAGACCAGUGACGACUGUGCAGCAGGUGCCUGACUCCAUGGACGACUAGGACCUGAGUUGAUGAGGAUGACAUCGUCGAUUCCGAUCCAGACCGCCACACAUGGAGGUCGG